UACGUAGGGUGCAAGCGUUAAUCGGAAUUACUGGGCGUAAAGCAUGCGCAGGCGGCUUUGCAAGACAGAUGUGAAAUCCCCGGGCUCAACCUGGGAACUGCAUUUGUGACUGCAAGGCUAGAGUACGGCAGAGGGGGAUGGAAUUCCGCGUGUAGCAGUGAAAUGCGUAGAUAUGCGGAGGAACACCGAUGGCGAAGGCAAUCCCCUGGGCCUGUACUGACGCUCAUGCACGAAAGCGUGGGGAGCAAACAGG
rnacentral:rRNA from 1 species